ACGUAGGAGGCGAGCGUUAUCCGGAGUUACUGGGCGUAAAGGGCGUGCAGGCGGUUGGCUAAGUUCGUUGUGAAAGCGCCCAGGCUUAACCGGGAGAGGACGUGCGAGACUGUCGGACUAGAGGCAGGUAGAGGCAAGUGGAAUUCCGGGUGUAGUGGUGAAAUGCGUAGAGAUCCGGAGGAACACCAGAGGCGAAGGCGACACCCUGGGCCGUACCUGACGCUAAGACGCGACAGCACGGGGAGCGAACGG
rnacentral:rRNA from 1 species